rnacentral:lncRNA from 1 species
UCCUCCUCCUCCUCCUCCUCCUCAGGCCUCCUCCUCCUCAGGCCUCCUCCUCCUCCUCCUCCUCCGGCUGGCCUCCUCCUCCGGCCUCCUCCUCCUCCUCCUCCUCCUCAGGCCUCCUCCUCCUCCUCCUCCUCAGGCUGGCCUCCUCCUCAGGCCUCCUCCUCAGGCCUCCUCCUCCUCCUCCUCCUCAGGCUGGCCUUCUCCUCCUCCUCCUCCUCCUCCUCCUCCUCAGGCUGGCCUUCCUCCUCCUCCUCUCCUCCUCCUCCUCCUCAGGCCUCCUCCUCCUCCUCCUCCUCCUCCUCCCUCCUCCCUCCUCCUCCUCCUCAGGCCUCCUCCUCCUCAGGCUGGCCUUCUCCUCCUCCUCCUCCUCCUCCUCCUCCUCAGGCUUGGCCUCCUCCUCCUCCUCCUCCUCCUCCUCAGGCUGGCCUCCUCCUCCUCCUCCUCCUCCUCCUCCUCCUCAGGCUGGCCUCUUCCUCCUCCUCCUCCUCCUCCUCCUCAGGCCUGGCCUCCUCCUCCUCCUCAGGCUGGCCUCCUCCUCCUCCUCCUCCUCCUCAGGCCUCCUACUCCUCCUCUUCCUCCUCUCCCUCCUCCUCCUCCUCUUCCUCCUCCUCCUCCUCCUCCUCAGGCUGGCCUCUUCCUCCUCCUCCUCCUCCUCCUCCUCCUCCUUCGGCCUCCUCCUCCUCCUCCUCAGGCUGGCCUCCUACUCCUCCUCCUCCUCCUCCUCCUCCUCCUCCUCCUCCUCAGGCUGGCCUCCUCCUCCUCCUCAGGCCUCCUCCUCCUCUUCCUCCUCCUCCUCCUCCUCAGGCCUCCUCCUCCUCAGGCCUCCUCCUCCUCCUCCUCCUCCUCCUCCUCUGGCCUCCUCCUCCUCCUCCUCCUCCUCCUCCUCAGGCUGGCCUCCUCCUCCUCCUCCUCCUCCUCCUCAGGCCUCCUCCUCGUCCUCCUCCUCCUCCUCCUCCUCCUCAGGCCUCCUCCUCCUCAGGCUGGCCUCCUCCUCCUCAGGCCUCCUCCUCCUCCUCCUCCUCCUCCUCCUCCUCAGGCCUCCUCCUCCUCCUCCUCCUCCUCAGGCCUCCUCCUCCUCCUCCUCCUCCUCCUCCUCCUCAGGCCUCCUCCUCCUCCUCCUCCUCCUCAGGCCUCCUCCUCCUCCUCCUCCUCCUCAGGCUGGCCUCCCCACUAAGCAGCAGUGUGAUUGCAGUGUGAUUAUCACAGCCCUCAGAGGG